rnacentral:rRNA from 1 species
UACGUAGGGACCAAGCGUUGUCCGGAAUUAUUGGGCGUAAAGAGCUCGUAGGCGGCUUGUCACGUCGGGUGUGAAAGCCCGGGGCUUAACCCCGGGUCUGCAUUCGAUACGGGCAGGCUAGAGUGUGGUAGGGGAGAUCGGAAUUCCUGGUGUAGCGGUGAAAUGCGCAGAUAUCAGGAGGAACACCGGUGGCGAAGGCGGAUCUCUGGGCCAUUACUGACGCUGAGGAGCGAAAGCGUGGGGAGCGAACAGG